rnacentral:RNase_P_RNA from 1 species
GCGUUCGGGUAAUCGCUGUAUCCGUUUGACGGAUAUAGAGGAAAGUCCAUGCUCGCACGAUCUGAGAUGAUCGUAGUGUUCGUGCCUAGCGAAACCAUAAGCUAGGGUAGUUCGGCUCAGGCUGAACUAACGGCAAGGAAACAGCCUAAGUCCCUUUAGGGAUAUGGCUCAGUACCUUUGAAAGUGCCACAGUGACGAAGUUCUGCUGGAAACAGCAGAAGUGGAACGAGGUAAACCCCGCGAGCGAGAAACUCAAAUUUUGGUAGAGGAACUCUCCUGAAGGAAUUCAACGGAUGGAGGGACAAGCUGAUGCUUGUAGAUAGAUGAUUACCGCCGGAGUACAAGGAUUUUAUCCGAUUGCAGUACAAUGGUACAGAACAUGGCUUAUAGAA